rnacentral:lncRNA from 1 species
UCAUCUCUCUCCUGUCUCUCCGCAUCCGUCCUCGCCGCGCUGACAGCAGUCUUCCGAGCAGAACACCGUCUGGCUGCCAGGAGGCAUCGCGCUGAAAUCCGCGCCAUCGGGUUGAAGACGGACCGCGGGCCUCAGUGGCGUGGCGUAACCGAUAGUUCAUCACCUUCCCGGCUGGUUCUUCCACAACAUGCAGCAGCUUGAAGCCGACAGCACAUCUGACACACUAGUUUGAAGUAACGCUGAGUUCUACACACACGCGCACUCAAAUCCAGCUGUGCAUCCUUCCCUAAUCCAAACUGAAUGGGGCCUGUAAUACUACGAAUCGUUCCUCCUGGUGGACCCCGGUUCGUCUUUUAUCUCCCAGGGACUGUUUACUUCCAGUAAUUACGCUAUUCAUCACCCUAAUGGGAACAUCCCAUCCACUAAAUGAUUUCUCUUUUCUCUGAG